rnacentral:rRNA from 1 species
AGAGUUUGAUCCUGGCUCAGGAUGAACGCUAGCGACAGGCUUAACACAUGCAAGUCGAGGGGCAGCGGGGGAGUGGCAACACUUCCGCCGGCGACCGGCGCACGGGUGAGUAACACGUAUGAAACCUGCCCCCAACAGGGGGAUAAGCGGAAGAAAUUCCCUCUAAUACCGCGUAACAACCGACGGGGGCAUCCUUGUUGCUCAAAGGAGCGAUCCGGCUGCGGAUGGUCAUGCGGCGCAUUAGCUAGUUGGCGUGGCAACGGCCCACCAAGGCGACGAUGCGUAGGGGUUCUGAGAGGAAGGUCCCCCACACUGGUACUGAGACACGGACCAGACUCCUACGCGAGGCAGCAGUGAGGAAUAUUGGUCAAUGGCCGAGAGGCUGAACCAGCCAAGUCGCCUGAGGGAUGACGGCCCUACGGGUUGUAAACCUCUUUUGCCGGGGAGCAAAGAGCGGGACGCGUCCCGCCUCGAGAGUACCCGGAGAAAAAGCAUCGGCUAACUCCGUGCCAGCAGCCGCGGUAAUACGGAGGAUGCGAGCGUUAUCCGGAUUUAUUGGGUUUAAAGGGUGCGCAGGCGGAAGCGCAAGUCAGCGGUAAAAUUGAGAGGCUCAACCUCUUCCCGCCGUUGAAACUGCGUUUCUUGAGUGGGCGAGAAGUACGCGGAAUGUGUGGUGUAGCGGUGAAAUGCAUAGAUAUCACGCAGAACUCCGAUUGCGAAGGCAGCGUACCGGCGCCCAACUGACGCUCAUGCAUGAAAGCGUGGGUAUCGAACCGGAUUAGAUACCCUGGUAGUUCCCGCCGUUAACGAAGAAUAGUUGCUGUUCGGGGAGAAAAGUCUCUCGGCGGCCACGCGAAAGCAAUAAGUAUUCCACCUGGGGAGUACGCUGGCAACGGUGAAACUCAAAGGAAUUGACGGGGGCCCGCACAAGCGGAGGAGCAUGUGGUUUAAUUCGAUGAUACGCGAGGAACCUUACCCGGUCUCGACAGACGGAUGAAUAAUUUUGAGAGGAGGUAGUCCUUCGGGACAUCCGUCGCGGGGGGGCAUGGUUGUUGUUAGCUUGUGCUGUGAGGAGUUGGGGUAAGUUCCAUAACGAGGGCCACCCCCAUUCCCCGUUGCCCACAGGUAAAGCUGGGCACUCUGUGGAGACUGCCAGGGAUAACCUGGAGGAAGGCGGGGAGGACGUCAAAUCAUCAUGCCCCUUAUGGCUUGGGCGACACACGUGCUACAAUGGCGUAAACAAAGGGAAGCGAAAGGGUGACCUGGAGCGAACCCCAAAAAUAACGUCCCAGUUCGGAUUGUAGUCUGCAACCCGACUACAUGAAGCUGGAAUCGCUAGUAAUCGCGAAUCAGAAUGUCGCGGUGAAUACGUUCCCGGGUCUUGCACUCACCGCCCGUCAA